rnacentral:lncRNA from 1 species
GAAAAACCCUCAGAAACCUCAAGGCCAAGAGGACGUGGUGGAGGCCAACUUGGGGGUUGCAGGACAUCACCCACCUACCCACGAGAUGAUCUAUUAAUAGCUCAGUGGUUCUCACACCUGGGCAGGCAUUGGCAUUACCUGAAGCUGAGAUGAAACCCAAAUGGCUGAGUCCCGCACCCACAGUGUCUGAUUCAGCGAGUCUGGGGCGGGGCCUGACUGAAUUUCCUGCAAUACAGAAAAAUCUCUCUGGCUGCUGCCAGGAGGCUGCUGUGUAGGAGACUGAGCAUGGAAGCCCCAGCCCAGCCCUGCCCAGUUAGGAAGCAACUAUUGUAUUCAGCAAACCCUGCUGGCUCUAACGAGAAGUAUCAUCCCGAGUGCAUCACCAUCACUUCUCACCUCCAUGGCCUCUCAUUAUGCACUCUCUGCCUCUACUCUUGCCUUCCUGGAGCCGUUCUCCAGCCGUUAGCCAAAUGGGUCUUUUCAAAGUGCUGCUUAUGGAUUAGUGCUUUGGGCAGCUGCACAGAUAACCCACCUUUUGAUCUGGGUCCGCUUGGCACAAGAUACAAUAAAUGUCAUGAUAAAUGUCAGCCAGGAUUACAAUGCUUCCUUCACAAACCUUAGCACAGACGGUUUCAAUAAAGAUUGCUUGAUUAACUUUUUUCUUCUAAUUCAAUGCCAUUUUAAUCAUGUGCCUACUUUUUGCUUAAAAGGCCUGUGAAUUUCAUUCUGACAAAUAAAAUUAUUUUCCAAAAAUGUACACAAUUGCUUUGGCGAUGUUCAAUUUUCAUUUCUUUGCUUGGUAACAGUGCUUAGCAUUUAGCUGAGACUUCUUUAUGGAAACUCUGCCUCCAGG